GCCGAAGUGGUGGAACGGCAGACACGCGGGUUUUAGGUAUCCGUGCCUUCGGGCGUGGGGGUUCAAGUCCCCCCUUCGGCA
rnacentral:tRNA from 1 species